rnacentral:rRNA from 1 species
GUGGGGAAUCUUAGACAAUGGGGGAAACCCUGAUCUAGCCAUGCCGCGUGAGCGAUGAAGGCCUUAGGGUUGUAAAGCUCUUUCAGAGGGGAAGAUAAUGACGGUACCCUCAGAAGAAGCCCCGGCUAACUCCGUGCCAGCAGCCGCGGUAAUACGGAGGGGGCUAGCGUUGUUCGGAAUUACUGGGCGUAAAGCGCACGUAGGCGGACCAGAAAGUCAGGGGUGAAAUCCCGGGGCUCAACCCCGGAACUGCCUUUGAAACUCCUGGUCUUGAGGUCGAGAGAGGUGAGUGGAAUUCCGAGUGUAGAGGUGAAAUUCGUAGAUAUUCGGAGGAACACCAGUGGCGAAGGCGGCUCACUGGCUCGAUACUGACGCUGAGGUGCGAAAGCGUGGGGAGCAAACAGGAUUAGAUACCCGGGUAGUCC